ACGGCGGAGCCCCGCAGGCCAGAGCCCGGCGCCGGGGGGCCCGCCCCAGCCCGGCCCCGCCGUGGGGCGGCGCGGCACGGCGCGGCGCGGAGGGCGCACAUGUCCCCGGUCCGCCCGCCCGCCCGGCAGGCACCGCCCCCGCCUCCUCCCCCUCCGCUUCCCCCUGCCGGACACCGAGCGGCGCGGCGGGGCCUCCCCGGCUGCCGCCACGGCGCUCGGCUCCCGCCGCCCACCGGCGGGCAGCGCUGCCGCCUCAGCGGCCGCCAGGAAGCGGCCGGGCCGCCGCGCAUCCGCCUGCCGCUGGGCAUGAGCUCCGGCUCCCCCGGCGGCCACAGCGGUGCCAGUGGCGGCGGCGGCGGGCGGCGGCGGAGGCGGCGGAGGAGGCGAGGGGGGGCCCCGGGAGCGGCGACCUUCGCAGGGGGCUGCCGCGGCGGGAGAUGCUCUUGCUCCCAGCGGCGCCAGGAGCAGCAUGUUCCCCGGUGCCGACAGCGCUAGCAGCACGGCCGGGCAGCCCGAGGCGGCGGGGGCCGCCGCCCCGGGCCCCCCGGGCUCGCACGGCCCCGGCGGCGAGGCCGGCCGCCGCAGCGCCCCGGCGGCCGCCGCUGUGGCCGGCGGCGGCGGCGAGGAGGGGGCGGCGGCGGAAGACGAGGAGGACGAAGAUCCCGGCUCGUCCCGCUUCGUGCUGGCGGCGGGGCUGGGGCUGCUGGCCGUGUCCGUCGUCCACCUGGGGCAGGAGCGGGCCGAGGCGGGGGGCGGCGGGCCGCCGUGCCUGGCCCUGCUGCUGCUCCGCCUCGCCCUCUACGGGGGCUGCGCCGCCGCCGCCGCCGCGCUGGGCACCCUGAUCGUCCUGAUGGGUCGCGGCCGCCGCCGCCUGCCGCCGCCGGACUUCGCCGCCGCAGCUCCGGUCCUGCGGGCCGCGGGGUGUAAUUGGUCUGGAAGCUCCUAUGAUUCAGUCCAAUCAAGGAGAGUGGUCAUUUCUCACAACAUGGAUAAAGCACUGAAAGAAGAUCAUUCAGUUGGAUGCAUGAGUCCAUCCUUACUCAGUAAGGCUGAAAGUAAGUUACCAAUAUUUAAGUGAUUCAUUUUUCAGAGUUGAGAAACUUCUGUUGUGACAGCUUACUUGCCUUUCUGCUAUUUCUUUUCAGAGUAGCUUUUACCCUCCAUUCUCACUCUGAAUUUUGGAGAGCAAACUUGUCAGAUGUGGUUGUAUUUGUUCCAGGCCUAAGUGACUAAUGAAGCCAACUUCUCUUCUGUUACACAGUUUGACAAGGAUGCGACUGUACUUUUCACUCUACCACACAUAGACUUAAGCAAGCUUUUUGGUUUUGGAAGGUGCCCGAGUCAACUGGAGUUUGAGAUACUGAAUGAAUCCCAAAAAGAAACAUUUUACUUUUUUAUUAAGUAAAAUAAGUCUGUCUGAAAAUAGACAGGACACAUUCCUUGCCCUGUGACAGUUCCGAAACUUG
rnacentral:lncRNA from 1 species